CCUACGGGUGGCUGCAGUGGGGAAUAUUGCACAAUGGGCGCAAGCCUGAUGCAGCCAUGCCGCGUGUGUGAAGAAGGCCUUCGGGUUGUAAAGCACUUUCAGCGGGGAGGAAGGCGUUAAGGUUAAUAACCUUGGCGAUUGACGUUACCCGCAGAAGAAGCACCGGCUAACUCCGUGCCAGCAGCCGCGGUAAUACGGAGGGUGCAAGCGUUAAUCGGAAUUACUGGGCGUAAAGCGCACGCGGGCGGUCUGUCAAGUCGGAUGUGAAAUCCCCGGGCUCAACCUGGGAACUGCAUUCGAAACUGGCAGGCUAGAGUCUUGUAGAGGGGGGUAGAAUUCCAGGUGUAGCGGUGAAAUGCGUAGAGAUCUGGAGGAAUACCGGUGGCGAAGGCGGCCCCCUGGACAAAGACUGACGCUCAGGUGCGAAAGCGUGGGGAGCAAACAGGAUUAGAUACCCGAGUAGUC
rnacentral:rRNA from 1 species